UACGUAGGCAGCAAGCGUUGUUCGGAUUCAUUGGGCGUAAAGGGUGCGUAGGUGGCGCCGUAAGUCAGGUGUGAAAUCCCGGGGCUCAACCCCGGAACUGCACUUGAUACUGCGGUGCUCGAGUACUGGAGAGGAGAUUGGAAUUUACGGUGUAGCAGUGAAAUGCGUAGAUAUCGUAAGGAAGACCAGUGGCGAAGGCGAAUCUCUGGACAGUUACUGACACUGAGGCACGAAGGCCAGGGGAGCAAACGGG
rnacentral:rRNA from 1 species